rnacentral:rRNA from 1 species
UACAGAGGGUGCGAGCGUUAAUCGGAAUUACUGGGCGUAAAGCGUGCGUAGACGGUUGCGUAAGUCAGAUGUGAAAGCCCCGGGCUCAACCUGGGAAUUGCAUUUGAGACUGCGUAGCUAGGGUGCGGAAGAGGGAAGCGGAAUUUCCGGUGUAGCGGUGAAAUGCGUAGAUAUCGGGAGGAACACCCGUAGCGAAGGCGGCGCUCUGGGCCGGUACUGACGCUGGAGGAGCGAAAGCGUGGGAGCAAACAGG